rnacentral:lncRNA from 1 species
CAACCCUUAUAAAUAACUAAAUGCAAAAAUUAUGACCCUUUAUCAAAAAACAUGGGUUGAGAAAGAAAUCCCUUACGCAGGCAUUGUUUCAUUUCAUAGUACUCUGAACUGUGUAAAUCAGGACAUAUCGAUAAAUCUCUCUAAAUAAUACAAGUAUAUUAAUGCCAGAUAUACAUACACGUAUAUACUAUAUAUUACCAAGUACCAUCUGCAGAAAAGAUAAGGAAAAAGAAAUGGCAGAUGGAAAAUAAAUGGCCUAUCUGCUGCUCUGUUCAGCCACCAAUAAACUAAACACAAUUAAAUCAUCCAGAAGUCAAGGUCUGAGAUUUGAAAACCCAGCAAGAAUCUCCACGAAAAACAGCACGUACAAGAUAGGUAACUUCUUUGAAAGACCUAAAUCUUGUAUGUCAUUGCAAAAGUUAUAGUGAAUAAUUUUAUAAUUUUUAUUGUCACAUUAGGAGAUAAAUCUGUUUACCAAAUCUCUCUCUAAGGAUGAGGUAACAUUUAUGUGAACCUUUUUCUAACUGGAGUCUCACUAGUCAUGUUAUUCCUUAGCAGGAGAGAUCAAGCAUGCUAGUCCCGUUGCACAGAAGCAAUUCACUACAUCUAAUCUAUUCCUUUUGCCAUGGGCUAUUAGCUGGAUGUACAAAAGACUAAUAGGUUACAUCCAUUAUAUACAUACAGGGCUCUCAUGAAAGUUAAACAAAUACUUCUUUAAACAUACACACAGACACAAAUCCAUACUAUGGCAUCCAGAGAUUUUUAAGUCUCACAGUGUAUCAGUUCCAACACCUCACCCGGAAUAAAUUCACUGAGCACAGAACAAAUGUGUAAUGCAAAGAGAUUACCAAGUCAACUCCACCACCUUGAUUUAUAUAAGCUCUUCUAUUUUAGCAAUACCUGGAGAAGCCAG